CUUGCGGGGGAAAAACAUCGGGGCUUUUCUGGAGUUGGGAAAUAAAGAGGCAUAGGGUUUUCGGCCACGGCCACUGACAGUUUUAGAUCCCUUGGUUAUUUUUCCCUACGCUGUUGCAGCAGUAUAUGCAGCACAAAUCCCCCAAGAGCAGAUCCAGCUUUGCUUUGGGAAUGUGAGCAGCGCUGGCCUUUCCGUCACACCUUGGGGCGCCGAGUGAAUUCGAGCUGCAGCAACUUGACUUUUGGGGCAGGUGAGCCAGAAACCAUUCGUCCCGACGAAAGGGUCAGCUCACGGGCACGUUGCAGGAUCUGCAGCCUGUGAGGGGAGGGAAAUGCAAGCCCUCUGCACCCUGUGAGAAGAGGCAGGGCGCAGCAGUCCCUCCGGUGGGCUCGGGCACGCUACGAGGACAUCGGGGGGCUGCAGGAUGUGCUCGAGGACAAACACCAAGGCUUGGGCACAGGGCAGCAGGAUGGGGAUCUGCCAGCACGGGUGCCCCAGCCCGCCCAAGGUCUCGGUCGGCCGAGUUUCACGUGAGCCGGGGAGGUCUGCCAGAGCGGGUCGCGUCCUCCCCAUCUCGGGCAGCUCAUUCAGAGCCAGCUCGGCUGGCGCGGGGCCGCGCUGCUCUCUGCAGUGCAAACAGGCACUCUGAACCCUGCCCCAGCGCUGCCAGGGCGUCGCUUCUCCCGGAGAAAAUUGGGCUGCAGGAACUGCUCACGCUUCGGCUGAAGUUAUCCUCCUCCAUGUGUGAUGCGGGGUCUCUCAACUGAUGUGCUACACAGAGACCAUGACCUCAGGAGCAGGCUGCUCAGUCAGGCUCAUACCCACGGUGUUUGCAUGGAAGUCCAUAGAUCUCUGUAUAUCCCCGCGCAGUUUGACAGGAAAUCCUGCUUUCUCAUUACAAAGUUUGCUGCGAUGUUGUAAAUUGCCCUAAUUUUCCUCCGGAUUUGUUCCUGAAAGGAGCAGAAAUGGUGCCUCUAGAGAGGAAAACCAGAAGGCUUGGCAGGACUUCGCCCUCUGAGGCUCUGUGUUCUCACUCUUAUCCCCAGGUGGGGAAGUUGCAGGUUUAUGGUGAGCAGAAGAGGUGGUGAAGUGUUUUACAGCAGCUUUUGCCCCAGCCCAGAAAUGAAGCCACCCCCCUCUCAUUCCCCCGCUGAGGAAUGGGCUGCUUGGGAAUUUAAGGAGUGUGACAUCCAGAUCUGGAAGUAAGUCACAGCUUUGGCCCGUCUCAAAUUCAAAAACUGUUCACCCAACCUAAAUCCAGCACAUCUGGCAGAAGGGAGAGCCGCCAGCCCAAAAGCUGUAACACAAUUCACUGAAAAUAGCAGAGCAACCAAAUGGGCCGGGAGGCGAUGAGGAGCCUUCCGAACCACCACUGCUGCAGGGUGCCAGCCUGCUGCCUGCAGGCCGCUUUGGAGCAAAGCUAAAAAGGCCAAUUAACACCUCACCAGGAGGGCAUCCCUUCAGACCCAUCCCUUCAGCGUGCCCUCGAAACCAGCUGGGAUCCACGGCUUGGCCCCAGCUGAGAGGCAGCAAACUCCUGAGAUUGCCACCAGGUUCAGUGCAAAGUCACUCACCUGCAGCACUGCUUGGCCUCGCUGUGCCACAUGUAACAGGCUGGGUAGCUUGCUUUUAUUUCUCAGUACCAUACAGAGAGUGCUAGCCUCAACAUCCUUGCUCUCAGAGUUAAAUCCAGCCUCCCAGCCCGUGCUGCCUUGCUGCUAGGCCCUCAUUUGCCCGUCCGGGUGGCACGGCACAUCUUUGGGAACGUGCUGGCCCCGUGAGAGCCAGAUUCCUUUUCUCAAUGGAAAAUUUUGAGCUGUUCCCACCAGUGACAUCACGGCGUCCUCCACUUCCACAGCCACAAAGGCGCAUAUUGAUAGGCAUGACAUUUCCCUUUAAUGCCUUCAUUGUCUCCUGCGUUUCGUUUGGGCUGUCGCUCGAAGCCCAAAAAGCAAGACAAAAGGCAAAGUAUGUUAAGGGGAGACCCGGGCUGCGUGCAAAUAUGUCGCACGAGAGGAUCUCUGACUCCAGGCAAUUCUCAGGGAAUUUGCUUUCCACGGGGCUUCUCCCGAGUGAUUUAGGAUAUUGACUGGAACUGCCACCUCCUUCCUCUAACUUGCUUCAGGCUCGUGCUUGGGUACUGCUGCGCUGCACAGGGAUCUGGCACAUGCUUUCAGAGCCUAUUUUAAAAGAUUUGUGUCAGCUGCAUCGCAGAGCACGCUAACCGAGCUCCUGAACCACAGCAAGCUUGCCUUGUGGGCUCCUCAGGACUGGGACCCUGCAUCCUCAAGGGACGUUUGUACAUUUGGUGCAGGGCAGAAAGGAGAAGGGGAGCACUGACCUUCGCACCAUGUCCCUUUCUAAAGAGAUAGCAAGGCUCAGAGCGGACUUUGAUUUCGCCUCUUGCAGUAUCGACCCAAGUUCCGUAUUGUUGGCCUUUCAGGGAAAUUUGGCACGGGGCAGGGUUGGGCACGGAGUCUCCUGAGCACGUCAGUCAUCAGGAAGGAGAGAGCUGAAGAGUGCAGCUGAUGGGGUGAGCUCUGGGGCUGUGUGCGAGGAUCUUUGCAAGACCCUCAGCGCCUAGAAGCUGCAGCUCCUUCCACAGCGAGGUAAAUCUUUUCCACACAGGGUUCAGCUCUUCCAUGGAUGAAUCUUCUGGAGUUUUCUGACCACCUUAUUCUCCUCACUACUCACCUCUUUAGAUGAUUUUUAUUUAUUUUAUUUAUUUUUUUUUCUGGGACUUACCCACGGUACUUCCAAUGAACUGCUGUCCACAGUGAAGUGUUACUUUACAGAUAACCUGACUGUUAUGCAUGUCAUUAAAUAUGCCUUAAGAACGGCUCUGCAUCUCAGGGAGCUUGCAGACACCCAUACAGACCCCUCUUAAAAGUUAAUUUGUCUAGCAGUCUGGACAAAACAGUGCUCCAAAGGUUAAUAAGCAUAAAAUGAAUGCCUUGGUAAGCCAAAGUUAAAUGAGCAUUUGGAAAGGGGAACAGCUACCUUUCAAUUAUAUUUUGCUGCUGUAAAACCUGAGCAAACCUGCUACCUAUGUGAGAAAGAGGCUGAAACAGAGCAGACGCCAGGUCUGGUGUCUCAGCAGACACAGAGCCUCUGCCCUUGGUCUCCCAUAGGCUUUGGACCACUUGACAGACCUCACAAGCUCUGCUGGCUUUUGCCCUCAGAGAAACCCUGUUGGUUUCUUCACCAAGCAAGCCCCAGCUGUGAAGACAUGGGACAUUUGGCUCCUAUUAGAAGCCCAGAUCUCAUUUCUCCCUCUCUGGUACGGCAGCAAGGUGGGCAGUCAGAGGCAGAGGCUCCGUGCUGCUCCCACUCAUCUCCCAUGGCUCUUGGGUUGGCACGGGGGGGCAAGUUGGGCAUCUGAGGGUGCCAUGGUCAGGGGGAGACGGCAUUUAUCUCUUACUGCAGGCAGUUGUUAGAGCUGGUCUGCUGAUCUAGGGGUCCCUAACCCCCCUUAUCAGCUCCUGAGAUGGAAAAACAUGCUUUUCUGCCUUGCAGUGGCCAUAGGUGGAGGACAGGUUCCCACAUACUAAGUAUCUGGCUGCUGCCCAUGUUUCUGCAGAAGCCAGGAUGGUGACAGCUGUGUUCCAGCAAAAGUAUAGUAUGCUUCUGCAAAAAAUGUGCUUAUAAUUCUCGUUUCUCUUCCCCCAGGACUGUCUCAGAAGUUAAAUCAAACCUCUGGCUCCGUAGAGUCCCCUGCACUUGACACGGAUCACUUACCUGGGCUGGGAUCCUGCUGCAGGGGACAGCCUGUUUCAUUUUGCCUGUUACCAGCAUAGAAGGGGACAAUUUAGUUACCAGAUUGUCUGGGGACAAUUGGAGGUCAGGGGAAGCAUGAAAAUGGGAGAGAGGUCUGGGGACAGGGCUCACGUGAAAGGGUUCAAUGGGGGAGGAAGACCUGGCAGCAAGGUGAGCUGAGGCUGGGCCAAGCCCUGCUGAAAAUGGCCUUUGUUACCUGUCAGCAGCAAACCCAAAUGCCCUUUUUAUUUUCCUUCUUCCAUGGAAUUACUUCAAACAAACAGAUCUGAAACAAAACAGCCAUGCCUUUCACCACAGGAGCUCUCACGUCCAGGGCCAGCAGGGAGGGCCGGCUUGUGUCUGUGCCCAUGUGCAGGUUCUGGUGGGUCAUGCUCCUUACUGAGCCUUGGAGAAGGCUGUGGAUAUUUUAAUCAUAAAUUCCAGCCCUGGACAAUUUAAUUUACACCAUUAGCUGUGCUUUGUCCUGGCACAAAGCAGCUCCUCUGCUUUGGGCACGAGUUACAGUGAUGGCUGGGGAUGGUGGCUGGGGCUCUCAGCCUGCCCCCAUGCUGAGUAGCAGCUGAGAGGAGCCUCCAAAACCAUCUUAAAAAGCAGCCUCUUGGAAGGGAGCUGCAUGGAUACCUGUCCCAUCCCUGUCCUUGGGCAUCCAGCCCCAGGAAGGGGCUUCGGGGCUCCCAAACCCCAACUCACAGCUCAGGUCUCCAUCUCCGGGACACAGGAACCUUGGCUGAGAUGACAGACUUCAGGAUCUUGGCCAAGAGGAACCAGAUAAUAAGCCCUAGAAAAGCUGGCACAGCGGUUUCUGCUCGCAUUGCAGGUCCUGUGUGUCAGCCUGCUUGGCAGCUGGGGAUCCUGCCUGCCCAAAGCAGGGUGGCACAGGGCCUUGGGCAUCGCCCCCGAGCCAGGACAGAGAACCUCCUUGGGUCCCGGUGCCUGCAAAGGAGACAUGUCUGCUGCUCUGAUUUGGCAGCAAUCCUCUCCUCCUAGCUCCUCCCAGCUCCAGGAAAGGAAACCAAUUUCCUUUGCAAAGUAAUCUGAGCUCCAGGAGUUAAAAGUGCUAUUUAAAGAGCGAGGCGAUGCUGCCGUACGAGGAGCUCACGGUUUGGAGAAAGCUCUCCGCCUCCGCGUGUAAAAACUAGGCUAAUAAUGGUUUUCUGCCUCACGCAAGCUGGUGGGAAUUAAUUAAUUUUAAAAGCAGUUGGAAGCACAGCCACAACAUAGGUGCUAAUUUUUAUUUAUUAAUAUUUCAUGUUCGCGAUACAGGACUAAUUAUGUGCAUGGCAAGGAGUGCAUUUUCCAUGCUAUUAGCUCAAUCUUAAAGAUUUAGACAGUACUUACAUUUAUCUGUACCUCAAAAAAAAGUGUUGCAUGAGAUGAAAAUGUGUGGGGGGUGCUCUCUUAAGUGCGAUCUUUAUUAUGCUGCUUCAAUCCCACCUCCCGCUGAGCCUGUCAAGACCGAACAUCUGGCUGUUGCUGUAGCACGCGAUGCCUCCUGAAUUGCCAACUCCUGGCCAGGAGGAAGAGGCUGGGAAGAAGCCGAAGGAGGUGAAGGGGUGGGGAAGGAGCCAGGUUUGUCUCCCAUAGUCUGGCAGUGACAAGAAGGCGGAGAGGUUUUGUGCUUGCUGUGGAGCGGGCAGGAGCCCGUGCAGUAUGUUUUAUCUCUCCUGCAGUUGGGACCCAUUUCCAGAGCUUUAGGGAGUGAUUAGCUCAGAAAGAAAACAGUGGGAAAUGGCAAACGUCUUUCACCACCUCCCAGUUGAUCCAAACUACAGGUUCGUGUUUGGAUGUAAUUGACUAUUUCUGCAUAUGUGUGCAGGGAAGAUGUCCCCGCUGUACACGCUAUAGGACAGUACCUGUGUCUUCCUGCACGUCUCUGUAGUAGCUAACUUAGAGGGGAGCCCCUGACGCUCUGGCAGUGAAUAUGCUCCUUGUUCUGCCCUAGAGAAAAGCACUUUUAAAGAAGCUCAGAAAUGAGACUGGAAAAUGAAAAUAUUCUUCGUGACAUUGUCUGCCUGCCAAGUCUGAUAAAGUCACAGGGGGAAUGGGAAACCCCUGGAAAGUCUAAUGGAAAGUCUAACUGCAGAGAAUGUGUAGAGAUGCGAAAGAAGAUCCUUAACUACUCUUUUCUCUGCUCCGACUCAUCUAGGAGCUGCAGCAAACCCUGGUGUUUCCUAGUCCUUCAGUCAUACGCACAGCAAGGAUUUAAAUAAAUACUAUAAAAAUGG